rnacentral:rRNA from 1 species
CCAAUGGCCGUACAGAUACUGGGUGUAAGGGAGAGUAGGCGGCAUGGUAAGUUAGAUGUGAAGCUACAGUGCUAAGGCCUCGGGAUUGCAUUUAAAACUAUCAAGCUAGACUUACAGAAGGGAGAGUAAGUGGAAUUCCUAGUGUAGCGGUGAAAUGCGUAGAUAUUAGGAAGAACACCAGUGGCGAAGGCGACUUACUGGACUGAAACUGACGCUGAGGCUCGAAAGCGUGGGGAGCGAACAGGAUUAGAUACCCUGGUAGUCCACGCCGUAGACGAUGAGUGCUAGGUGUCGGGAGGGACCCUCGGUGCCGCAGCUAACGCAAUAAGCACUCCACCUGCGGAGUACGAUCGCAAGAUUGAAACUCAAGGACGUGACUGGCGCCAGCACAAGCGGUGGAGCAUGUGUACCCUCGAAGCACGCGAAGAGCGCUACCAGCGUGACAUCCUCUGACGUGUAGAGGUGCGGCGUGCUCAUCAGCAGCACACGUGACAGUGUGCAUGGUGUCGUCAGCUGGGUCCUGAGAUGAAGUAAUCAGAGCAGCAACACCCUAUUCUUAGUAUGCCAUCAUUCAGUUGGGCACUCUAGGGAGACUGCCGUGGAUAACACGGAGGAAGGUGGGGAUGACGUCAAAUCAUCACGCCCCUUAUGUCUUGGGCUACACACGUGCUACAAUGGCUGGUAACAAAGUGACGCAAAACGGCGACGUCGAGCAAAUCACAAAAACCCAGUCCCAGUUCGGAUUGUAGUCUGCAACUCGACUACAUGAAGCUGGAAUCGCUAGUAAUCGCGAAUCAGAAUGUCGCGGUGAAUACGUUCCCGGGCCUUGUACACACCGCCCGUCACACCAUGGGAGUUGGAAGCACCCGAAGUCGGUGACCUGACCGUAAGGAAGGAGCCGCCGAAGGUGAAGCCAGCGACUGGGGUGAAGUCGUAACA